rnacentral:rRNA from 1 species
UACGUAGGGUGCAAGCGUUAAUCGGAAUUACUGGGCGUAAAGCGUGCGCAGGCGGUUAUGUAAGACAGAUGUGAAAUGCCCGGGCUUAACCUGGGAACUGCAUUUGUGACUGCAUGGCUAGGAAGUUUGGCAGAGGGGGGUAGAAUUCCACGUGUAGCAGUGAAAUGCGUAGAGUAUGGUGGAGGAACACCGAUGGGCGAAAGGCCAGCCCCCCUGGGUCAAGACUGACGCUCAUGCACGAAA